GACGAGCGCUGGCGGCGUGCCUAAUACAUGCAAGUCGAACGCACAGUUUAUACCGUAGCUUGCUACACCAUAAACUGUGAGUUGCGAACGGGUGAGUAACGCGUAGGUAACCUGCCUGGUAGCGGGGGAUAACUAUUGGAAACGAUAGCUAAUACCGCAUAAUAUUGAUUAUUGCAUGAUAAUUGAUUGAAAGAUGCUAUUGCAUCACUACCAGAUGGACCUGCGGUGUAUUAGCUAGUAGGUGAGGUAACGGCUCACCUAGGCGACGAUACAUAGCCGACCUGAGAGGGUGAUCGGCCACACUGGGACUGAGACACGGCCCAGACUCCUACGGGAGGCAGCAGUAGGGAAUCUUCGGCAAGGGACGAAAGUCUGACCGAGCAACGCCGCGUGAGUGAAGAAGGUUUUCGGAUCGUAAAGCUCUGUUGUAAGAGAAGAACGGGUGUGAGAGUGGAAAGUUCACACUGUGACGGUAUCUUACCAGAAAGGGACGGCUAACUACGUG
rnacentral:rRNA from 1 species